CUGGUUUCUUAAUGCAUAAUGAGAAAAGGCUCUGGCACAAAACAAAGGGCAGUUUCAGAGGUCCUGGGCCAAGAGGAGCCUCCGUGCAUCCUUACCUUCAAAGGGGAUGCUGUCCAUCAAUCAAGAGGUAUUCACCGAGCAGGAACGACCGAGAAAGCCCUCUUUGGGGGAAGGCAGCUUCCGUGUGUUUUACAGUUUAACCAUGUUGCUAAAGGAAUGGCUUUCAUUUGGUCUUACACUCAGUUUUCUCACAGUGGAUCCUCCCACAUUCCCCUGAAGUGGAGAGCGUGACUCUCUAUCUCUGUUUUCAUGGGGGCGGGGGAGGGGGGCGGCCAGUGGAAACAAGUGCCUUGCCCUUCAGUGCAGAGGCAGGCCUGCUGGGGGCAAGGACCUUGGGCUUUACCCAGCUCCACUCGGAGCGAACCUCCCUCCCCGCUUGUAGUCUUCCCGGGUGUCGAUUUUCCGCACACACGGGCUUCCCACUAAUCUCCUGGCAAGUUCCUACCAGCCCAGGCCCCUUCCCUGGCAGAGCGGCUGGGGUUGGCUUUGGAGGCAGGAGGUGACGGUUCCCUCGCAGUCCCCCUUCUGGGCUCUCCUCACCGAAUAAACAGAGGCCGGCCACCUUGGAGCAGGUCGCUGUAUUGCUACGUCGCAACCUCCGGGGACCGUGCUCUCUCCAGGAGCAGGGUUUCUCUAGCUCUCCGGAUCUCAGAGGUCACCAGCGUGGGUUCCAGGCCUGGCAGUCUCUGGGGAAGCCUUUUAAGAACACGGACCGCCAGCUGCAUCACCCUCUACCCCUGCCCCCCUCCAUCCACUCCCCGUGUUGAAUCCGAAUCGCUCAGGGGAGGGUCCAGAAAUCGGUCACUCAAAAAAAAAAAAAAACCUUCCUGAUGAUUCUUGACUCCGCCAGAUUGGCAUUUGGAGGCACUGAGUGGCAGUGGUCUCACUGGUGGGGAAGAAGGGUGGCAGGUCGUGACUCAGAGUACAGUGCGCCUGCGUGUCGGCCCUGGAGUCCCUCACGGGACACCUGCUUACUGUGUGACCUGCAGAGGCUUUGUCGGAGCUCCCAGUUUCCUUGGUGAGACUCCCCAGUACCUGGCUUCUGGGGGUGCGACUGUGGGGGUGGUCCAGGAAGGGAUGAGGCCUGG